rfam:Mycosphaerella graminicola IPO323 chromosome 6, whole genome shotgun sequence.
GGCUAGUUGGUCUAGUAGUAUAAUUUCUGACUACAAAUCAGAAGGUCACAGGUUCAAUUCCUGUAUCAGCCU